UAUAGAAUCUUCUCAGGUUUUGGCCUGCCAUAUGAGUUCUGUUAUACUCACAGACACCAUUCAAACAGUUUUAGAAACUUAGGGUGUUUUCUAUCCAAAUCUACUAAUUAUAUGCAUAUUCUAGUUUCUGGGCAGGAGUAAUAACCAGAUUAAAUCGGGUACGUGUGUUGGCUUUGGGGAUGACAAGUGAAAUAUACCUGCUGGAGCUCGUGCUACCGGUUGGUGCUGCUAUGGUGACCAGUGAGCUGAGAUAAGGCGGGUUUUACCUAUGUAUUAAUAUGUAUUAAUUUAUUUCGGGAUUCUGGGUAAUCUACAGCAGAUUUAUGGAGAAUUGCUGUCGGUGAGUUGAAAAUUGAAUGGUCCUGGCAUAGAAAUGUAUAAAGUUGACAUUACAUCAUAAAAUGUAUAUUAUCUAUACUGUGUGGGAGUGCGAUUUAUAUCCUGUCACUACUGAUCAUUCAUCCAUACUGUGUGUGUCCCAUCAUUGCAGCUUUGGAAAUAAAUGAACUAUCCAUCCAUUGCUCCUUCCUGUGUUGACUCACGGACUUGAGGGACCAGGAAGGUCACGCUAGCUCGAUAUCUAGCUGAAGUUUGCAAACGUUUGUCACACCUCAUGCUUUUCAUGAACUGUGUGGUUGUGUUAUCUAGAGGGAACCCGUUAGCACAGUAGGAUCUGGUGCCUCUUGCCGUGGGUUCAAAACGACAGAGGAUAUCAACCUGCUUGCUCGUUUUUUUUUUGUUGACACAACAGGCUGAAAAGCGCCAAUGCUUCAGGAAGCUUUGUUUCCCCAUCAACUACUUUUCAGCAUAUUCUCUGUAGUCGACUACGGGAGUUUUGUCACUUUUUCCACCUUGGCUUACUGCUAGCGCACUAGCUGACUGACUUCUGGAAUCGAUCUAUUUUGGAUGUUGGGGAUUUUCCCAGCCAUCAUUCUGUAUGUCUCUGCUCUUUUGAUCUGCAGUCAUGUUUUAGUUGGGUUUUGUUAGUUGGGUUCUAACUGGUCUAGUUGGGCUCCAGCUCGCUGACCAUAACUAGUUGGCUAAAUAGCUAACGUUAGCUGGCUGGCUAAGAUAACUGCACAUAGCUAAUAUUCUUUGAUUGAUUAGAUGGUGUUAUGUAUUUCCAAAACGUUGGUUUACUUUAAUCACUCAAUUCAUGAGUGCAAACGAAUGGUUUAAUUUGAAGUUAUACAUUUGAAGUUAUUUCUGUUGUAGUUUACAUCAUAGGGAAUAGGCUGGUCCUCCACACUACAUCACACCUGACUUUAUCAUUCUUCUGAAUUCUGAUUGGUUUUAUGUAAUACCUCCAAAAAUAGAACAGUGAGGUGUAACUUUGCAUUGGAACUUAAAACAAUUUUAUUUUAUCUUUUAUUAGCUUUACCAUAACCUAAACAUUUUAUUUCUCUCCGUCACCCACUUUACAUGUUUAGAUAAUAAAGCACUUGACCUUUCCACUGCAUUAACAAUGGAGGAUUGGUUGAUUUCCAGUUUAAGUAUUUAAGAUGAUUAACGAGAAAAGUAUUGUCCAACCAUCGGGUAACUUGUUUCAUGCACAUCAAAGGUGAGGGUGAAUUUCAGAUGUUCACUGCUUGUAUUGAUGAAGGAGUGGAAUCGAUGAAGUUCCUCUGCUGUCCCCUGGAAUAGAAGGAACACGUCAUCAAUUAAGACAUUUACAGAGCCUGAUGAGCUGCUAGAAUGGAUUGUUAGGGCUGACAAUCACAUCUUCUCUAACAACCCCACAUACAGAUUGGCAUAAUUAGAUGCUAUUUUUAAACUACAAUGACCAUAAUGCACUGCGUGCCUACUUGUCUUGUCUGUGUUUAUUUUACACCUGCUAUGUAAAAGAGACAGAAUAAUGCACGAUGGUCAAUGCAAUCUGGAAUCCUUGGGACAUCCCUACCCUAAACCCUAACCUUAACCCCUACCUUAACCAUUUUAAAUGUCAACUUCAAUGGGCUAGGGACGUCCCAAGGAUGUAUCUCUACCUGAAAAUACAUGAUCUAAGUGAUUGAUAGUUGGUAUUCAGCAUAAAGCCUUAUUUACUUUAAUGAACUACUAAAAUAGUGAUUUUUGUCAGACAGCAGCUCUACACUUUAUUGACUGACUGAUCCAUUCAUCCUUCCAUCCCUCCUCAGCAUUCCUCUCCUCUGAAGACCCAGUGAGGGUGGAGCUCAGUCAGAGAGCUGUUGAGGGACUGGUUAGGAAGAACACUCCUACAGCCAGAGAGGGACAGUCAAGAAAUGGAACAGCAAGGCCACAGAACAUGACAUAAGCAGAGCUGUGGGAGACCACCUCAAGACCACCUUCAUUUGUUUUAUAAUAUGUUCAAAUAAAAUCAAGCUUUAUUUAUACAGCACAUGGAUGCAACACAAUGGCUUCACAGGAAAAAAACUAUGAAAAUAAAUAUAAAUAUUUAGUACACAACAAACAUAAGAGGAUAAAAAACAAGACUAACAACUGAAAGACUAAUGAACAUUCUAAGGAAAUGCCAUUGAUUAAAAUAUUAAUUGGAUGCGAUAUCCAACCCAGUUAAGACAACAAAUAUAUCCAAGAUUUUUGUUGGACAAGUGCUCACCACCAACAGAAAACGUCCAUAUCACAUUAUAAUCAACUACAAUGCUUCACCUUCUACAAAAUAAACAUGGUGUCUAUUGGAUGUCAACAAUUAAAAACAAGAAAAAACAUGUAUUUCUAAAUAAUAAUAUUCAAUUGUAUUAUUUUUUUCUAAUUUUUCUUUCUAUAUUCUAUAUUACAUUCUUUCUAUUUUUCCCCACUAGCUUCUAGAACUCUCGUCUUCCUAAAACUCACUAGCUUCUAGAACUCUCGUCCCCUUGGAAUGAGCACAAACAAAACUCAUCUCCAAUACGGAAAAACAUGCAGUCAAAAUAAAUUGUGAUCCAUGGUUUAAGCACUGGUUAAAUGCAGAACACAAAUCUUUUUGACUGCCCACCCUUGAGACAAUCAGCAACCAAGUUGUCCUCACCACGGACAUGUCUGAUUUCAAGAGGAAACUCCUGCAAUGUCCGUAGUAACUUUCCACCUCACUACAGAGCUUCUCUCACUUUUCAGGGUUCACUAGAUAGACAUGUUGUUGGAUCGGGGCCCAGUCCCCAAUGUCAUGCUCUAGUACAUUUUGGUUGGCACAUCUGAGAAUGUACCCUGAUAUUCUAAAAGCAGGGCAACAAUGUCAAUAUAAUUGUACCCAAAAAUUGUCAGUUGGUUACAUAAAUAAUGAUUACUAAAUGUUACAUGAAAUAUCAAAACCAAAUGUACACCCCUUUGUUAAUAUGUAUUGGCAAUAAUUAACUUAAUGGUGAGGCAUGGAAUAAUAAAACAUCUUUUGUCAGGCUGGAUGUUUGAAAUAUGAGGUGAUUUGAGUCAUGCUUCUUCAGUAGUGGAAUAAAGACAAUUAGCAUUUGAAUGUUGUAAAGAAAUACUGGACUGAUGUAGGAUUGUUAAUAAAAUUGAUUAUAGACCAAUUUAUUA